rnacentral:rRNA from 1 species
GAUCCUGGCUCAGGACGAACGCUGGCGGCGUGCUUAACACAUGCAAGUCGAACGCUGAAGCUCAGCUUUUGUUGGGUGGAUGAGUGGCGAACGGGUGAGUAACACGUGAGUAACCUGCCCCCUUCUUUGGGAUAACGCCCGGAAACGGGUGCUAAUACUGGAUAUUCACUGGUCUUCGCAUGGGGGUUGGUGGAAAGGGUUUUUCUGGUGGGGGAUGGGCUCGCGGCCUAUCAGCUUGUUGGUGGGGUGAUGGCCUACCAAGGCUUUGACGGGUAGCCGGCCUGAGAGGGUGACCGGUCACAUUGGGACUGAGAUACGGCCCAGACUCCUACGGGAGGCAGCAGUGGGGAAUAUUGCACAAUGGGCGCAAGCCUGAUGCAGCGACGCCGCGUGAGGGAUGGAGGCCUUCGGGUUGUGAACCUCUUUCGCUCAUGGUCAAGCCGCAACAAUGGUUGUGGUGAGGGUAGUGGGUAAAGAAGCGCCGGCUAACUACGUGCCAGCAGCCGCGGUAAUA